rnacentral:rRNA from 1 species
GUCGGCAGCUAGCUUUCUGAAACUCUCACAUGGUCCCCCACUGAAGCUAAGCAGGGCUGCGCUUCAGUACCUGGAUGGGAGACCACAUGGGAAAGCUAGGUUGCGGCCGGAA